rnacentral:rRNA from 1 species
AUUCCCCACUGCUGCCUCCCGUAGGAGUUUGGACCGUGUCUCAGUUCCAAUGUGGCCGAUCACCCUCUCAGGNCGGCUACCNAUCGUCGACUUGGUGGGCCGUUACCUCACCAACUAUCUAAUGNGACGCAAACUCANCCNAAACCNGAUUCCUNCUUNNACCCCUGCGCCANGCGAANCUGUGGUCUUAUGCNGUAUUAGCACCUGUUUCCAAGUGNUAUUCCCCUGUCUGGGACAGAUUGCUCACGCGUUACUCACCCGUCCGCCACUCNAAUNAUUCGGAAUCCUGCCCAANCUCUCAUCCAAAUGAUCCUCGUUCGACUUGCAUGUGUUAAACACGCCGGCAGCGUUCAUCCUGANCCAA